GGAUAAUGGAGGGAGGCGGGGCCUUCUCUCCCUGUUCUACCCGAUAAUGGGCCUGGACCAAUCAAUGACUGCCAUUAAAGCCCCAGAUGUGAUGCCUAGGGCAGGUAGAAGGCAGUCGCUUUGAGUAGCAAAAACAGCAUUUAGAGGCACACAGAGAACACGCAGGCAGAGGCAUGCCGAAAGAGGGGAGCACCUAGAAGCAGCAAGGAGGCACAGAUGGGAAGCACCUGCAGUUGGAGAGCAGCAGGAGAGCAGCAUUUGGAAGCAGGAAGAAGAAGCCUUGGCAGAAUGUUCUCCUUUGACCACAGACUGGUAUUGGACCAUUGGUGAGGUGGAGUGGAGUGAGUGGUAAAAACUAAGUAAAAAACUUAAGACAUUAAGCUUGGCGAUAAGAGGUAUGGUUUGACUUCUACUAUGUAUCACUAAGGCGCCUCUGGCCCAGGAAGGCCCUGGUUGGUACGAACUGGGGGGCUCACGACAACUCUUCUUUAGGUUUCCUAUGCCUCCCAUAGAUCACUGACCUCAAUAAAUUCCCUCUUAAUUUUAACCACCACUGGGGCAGUACCAUAAGUACUCCAAGAAGCCCUGGGACAAAUCUUUUGGAGACUAAGCCUUUCAACUUCCCUAUAUCAUCUUCAACCCCCAUGGGUUCUGAUCUGAGUUCCAAAUUUCAGUUCUGUGGGAUGCUUUUCAGCCCCCAUAUGACCAUGCUGUUAACAGAAAUCCUUCGCAUCACUGCUUUAACUCAACUUACAUACGAGGUUUAUGCGGUCACUGGCCGUGAAGACACGGUUACCACACCUGUGAGAAUGACUAAGUUUAGCCCUUUGAAAAAUAGCCAUAACGCAUAUGAGUUAGAAUCCUAUUCACUCCCUAAAGCUGAUGAAUCAGCCCCUUCUGAAGACUACUGUUAAGCCAGGGUGGUUCUAUACCGUGUUCCGGUCUCAAGGUGGAUUGCUUAUGUGUGAGGGGCGGGGGGCAGUGAAGAUAAUUACUUGUGCUUUCUUCUCUAUAAUCCCACAAUUCCUUCUGUAGUCAUUAUAGCCAACAGUCAGGUUGCUAGAAACCUGGCAUCAAAUGUUCAAGUUGAUGGGUCCUUCUUGACUAAUUAACAACAUAUGUUACUUCAUAUUUUCAUUAGCCUAUGUCUUCAUGAUCAACUAUCUCUGGAAAGACACAUCUCUUAGAACUGUGGAUAGUAUUGCUCUCCGAAUGUGAAAAACUGCAAAAAUGAAGUGCUGGAAAGUUUCUCCCAGGGGCCAAUGGGGCCCUGAUUCUGUCAGUUCUGUGGCCACCAACUGCACCUGUUUUCUCGACCAGUUUAUCGUACAGUGUGGGCUGCUGGCCGCAGAGGGCCCAGGUCACGCUGCUUCAUCGAGACUGUGGCAGAAAACUCCAGGAAAUGUCCAGGAAGCAGCCACUGAAGCUGCAAUUAUGGCAACAGUGGAGGCGGCUGCUGCUACACAAGCUUGGAGGAAGAGGCUGUAACCUCUACUCUUCCCCGGCCCUGCAACUGCUAUCCAACCACCCCUAGGAAGAAGAUGAGAACUCAAAUGAAGCUGCACCUACAGUAUGGAAAACGUCAGCAGCACGCUCGAGCAACACAUGAUGGGCAAGAGAGACAACUACAGAUCUGUAAAGACAGACAUAAUAAAAAAUACGGUAUUCAUCCAAUGGAAAAGACCAGAUCGCAGUAAAAAGUUUACACAAAAGAGGAUUGAAGUAGGAUUUUUGAACAGACAUGAGUGCUCAAAAAAUGUUGUCAUGACAGAUUUAGAAGAGGUUAAAUAUGAAACAAGAACUUCGUGACUGUUAGAGGCAAUGUUCAGAUCGUACAAUGGGAAUAAGAGUACAACAAUGGAUAUUUGGAAUGUAGCCACACAAUUUACAGGGAAGGGAUUUUAUUUUUGUUAAGGGACACAGUGUUCCACCUCAUGUCUCCUCUCUCUUCACACAAGCAGCAAGUGGUAAAGCAGGGAUUAAAAUGAAAACCCAGGUCUCCCGAUUCCUGUGAUCUUUCCACUACCCCAUGCUGCUUGUUUUAUAUGAAGGGGACACAUGUUUAGAUACUGAUUACUAUUUAAACUUUCCAGAAAAUUUGCAAGACUAAAUAUGUACACAAUUGAGAUAACUCAUAUUAAUUCUAUUUUUGUAAACUUUGCUCCAAUUAUAAUAAUAAUAAUGGU